rnacentral:rRNA from 1 species
GACGAACGCUGGCGGCGUGCUUAACACAUGCAAGUCGAACGAAGUGGCGAACGGGUGAGUAAUACGUGGGUAACCUGCCCUCCUUUUUGGGAUAAGCCUUGGAAAAGGGGUCUAAUACCGAAUAAAGGGGGAUGGGCUCGGGGCCUAUCAGCUUGUUGGUGGGGUGAUGGCGUACCAAGGCGGUGACGGGUUGCCGGCCUGAGAGGGUGCCCUGCGACAUUGUGACUGAGAAACGGCCGAGACUCCUACGGGAGGUAGAAGUGGGGGAUAUUGCAGCAUGGGCGAAAUAUUGAUGCAGCGUGGCAGCGUGGGGGAGGAAGGCGUUCCUGUCGUACCGCUCGUUCGGUAGCGAACGGGUAGGCGGAGAAGAAGCGCCGGCUAACUACGUGCCAGCAGCCGCGGUAAUUC